GAUGAACGCUGGCGGCGUGCUUAACACAUGCAAGUCGAACGAUGAAGCCCAGCUUGCUGGGUGGAUUAGUGGCGAACGGGUGAGUAACACGUGAGUAACCUGCCCUUAACUCUGGGAUAAGCCUGGGAAACUGGGUCUAAUACCGGAUAGGAGCGUCCACCGCAUGGUGGGUGUUGGAAAGAUUUAUCGGUUUUGGAUGGACUCGCGGCCUAUCAGCUUGUUGGUGAGGUAAUGGCUCACCAAGGCGACGACGGGUAGCCGGCCUGAGAGGGUGACCGGCCACACUGGGACUGAGACACGGCCCAGACUCCUACGGGAGGCAGCAGUGGGGAAUAUUGCACAAUGGGCGAAAGCCUGAUGCAGCGACGCCGCGUGAGGGAUGACGGCCUUCGGGUUGUAAACCUCUUUCAGUAGAGAAGAAGCGAAAGUGACGGUACCUGCAGAAGAAGCACCGGCUAACUACGUG
rnacentral:rRNA from 1 species